GACGCUGGCGGCGUGCCUAAUACAUGCAAGUCGAGCGAAUCUGAGGGAGCUUGCUCCCAAAGAUUAGCGGCGGACGGGUGAGUAACACGUGGGCAACCUGCCUGUAAGACUGGGAUAACUCCGGGAAACCGGGGCUAAUACCGGAUAAUAUCUAUUUAUACAUAUAAUUAGAUUGAAAGAUGGUUCUGCUAUCACUUACAGAUGGGCCCGCGGCGCAUUAGCUAGUUGGUGAGGUAACGGCUCACCAAGGCGACGAUGCGUAGCCGACCUGAGAGGGUGAUCGGCCACACUGGGACUGAGACACGGCCCAGACUCCUACGGGAGGCAGCAGUAGGGAAUCUUCCGCAAUGGACGAAAGUCUGACGGAGCAACGCCGCGUGAGUGAUGAAGGUUUUCGGAUCGUAAAACUCUGUUGUUAGGGAAGAACAAGUACCGGAGUAACUGCCGGUACCUUGACGGUACCUAACCAGAAAGCCACGGCUAACUACGUGCCAGCAGCCGCGGUAAUACGUAGGUGGCAAGCGUUGUCCGGAAUUAUUGGGCGUAAAGCGCGCGCAGGCGGUUCCUUAAGUCUGAUGUGAAAGCCCACGGCUCAACCGUGGAGGGUCAUUGGAAACUGGGGAACUUGAGUGCAGAAGANGAAAGUGGAAUUCCAAGUGUAGCGGUGAAAUGCGUAGAGAUUUGGAGGACACCAGUGGCGAAGGCGACUUUCUGGUCUGUAACUGACGCUGANGCGCGAAGCGUGGGGAGCAACAGGAUUAGAUACCCUGGUAGUCCACGCCGUAAACGAUGAGUGCUAAGUGUUA
rnacentral:rRNA from 1 species